AACGAACGCUGGCGGCGUGCUAACACAUGCAAGUCGAACGCGAAAGGGACUUCGGUCCUGAGUAAAGUGGCGCACGGGUGAGUAACGCGUAGAUAACCUGUCUUCAUGUCUGGAAUAAUACGCCGAAAGGGGUACUAAUACCGGAUAUUCUUGCUUUUCAUAAGUUAUGCAAGCAAAGGUGGCCUCUGCAUAUGCUACUGCAUGAAGAGGGGUCUGCGUACCAUUAGCUAGUAGGUGGGGUAAUGGCCUACCUAGGCGACGAUGGUUAGCGGGUCUGAGAGGAUGAUCCGCCACACUGGCACUGGGACACGGGCCAGACUCCUACGGGAGGCAGCAGUGAGGAAUAUUGCGCAAUGGGGGAAACCCUGACGCAGCGACGCCGCGUGAGUGAGGAAAGGCCUUCGGGUCGUAAAGCUCUGUCAAGAGGAAAGAAGUGUACAAUGGCUAAUACCUGUUGUAUUUGACGGUACCUCUAAAGGAAGCACCGGCUAACUCCGUGCCAGCAGCUGC
rnacentral:rRNA from 1 species